UACGUAGGGAGCAAGCGUUGUCCGGAUUUACUGGGUGUAAAGGGUGCGUAGGCGGCUAUGCAAGUCAGUUGUGAAAACUAUGGGCUCAACCCAUAGCCUGCAAUUGAAACUGCGUGGCUUGAGUGAAGUAGAGGUAGGUGGAAUUCCCGGUGUAGCGGUGAAAUGCGUAGAGAUCGGGAGGAACACCAGUGGCGAAGGCGACCUACUGGGCUUUAACUGACGCUGAGGCACGAAAGCAUGGGUAGCAAACAGGAUUAGAUACCCUGGUAGUCCAUGCCGUAAACGAUGAUUACUAGGUGUGGGGGGUCUGACCCCCUCCGUGCCGGAGUUAACACAAUAAGUAAUCCACCUGGGGAGUACGACCGCAAGGUUGAAACUCAAAGGAAUUGACGGGGGCCCGCACAAGCAGUGGAGUAUGUGGUUUAAUUCGAAGCAACGCGAAGAACCUUACCAGGUCUUGACAUCCUACUAACGAAGCAGAGAUGCAUUAGGUGCCCUUCGGGGAAAGUAGAGACAGGUGGUGCAUGGUU
rnacentral:rRNA from 1 species